rnacentral:rRNA from 1 species
GACGAACGCUGGCGGCGUGCUUAACACAUGCAAGUCGAGCGGAAAGGCCACUUCGGUGGUACUCGAGCGGCGAACGGGUGAGUAACACGUGAGUAAUCUGCCCCUCACUUUGGGAUAGCCACCGGAAACGGUGAUUAAUACCGGAUAUGACCAUAUGUCGCAUGGCGUGUGGUGGAAAGUUUUUCGGUGAGGGAUGUGCUCGCGGCCUAUCAGCUUGAUGGUGAGGUAAUGGCUCACCAUGGCUUCGACGGGUAGCCGGCCUGAGAGGGUGACCGGUCACACUGGGACUGAGACAUGGCCCAGACUCCUACGGGAGGCAGCAGUGGGGAAUAUUGGACAAUGGGCGGAAGCCUGAUCCAGCAACGCCGCGUGAGGGAUGACGGCCUUCGGGUUGUAAACCUCUUUCAGUACCGACGAAGCGCAAGUGACGGUAGGUACAGAAGAAGCACCGGCCAACUACGUG